rnacentral:rRNA from 1 species
AUUCCAGCUCCAAUAGCGUAUAUUAAAGUUGUUGCAGUUAAAAAGCUCGUAGUUGGAUUUCUGUUCUCGAGGAUCGGUCCGCCUCACGGUGAGCACUGGUUUUUCUUGGGGACAUCCUCUCGAAGGCGGGUGGUGCACUUAAUUGUGUGCUGCUUGGAUUCGGGACCUUUACUUUGAAAAAAUUAGAGUGUUCAAAGCAGGCGUCGGCUUGAAUACAUUAGCAUGGAAUAAUGGAAUAGGACUUUGGUUCUAUUUUGUUGGUUUCUAGGACCGAAGUAAUGAUUAAUAGGGACAGUUGGGGGUAUUCAUAUUUACAUGUCAGAGGUGAAAUUCUUGGAUUUUGGAAAGAUGAACUACUGCGAAGGCAUUUACCAAGGAUGUUUUCAUCA